rnacentral:rRNA from 1 species
GAUGAACGCUAGCGGCAGGCUUAAUACAUGCAAGUCGAGGGGUAGCAUGAGUAGCAAUACUUGAUGACGACCGGCAAACGGGUGCGGAACACGUACGCAACCUUCCCAUAACUGGUGAAUAGCCUUCCGAAAGGGAGAUUAAUACACCGUAACAUAACGAAGUGGCAUCACUUUGUUAUUAUAGGCUUCGGCCGGUUUUGGAUGGGCGUGCGCCUGAUUAGGUAGUUGGCGGGGUAACGGCCCACCAAGCCUGCGAUCAGUAACUGGUGUGAGAGCACGACCAGUCACACGGGCACUGAGACACGGGCCCGACUCCUACGGGAGGCAGCAGUAAGGAAUAUUGGUCAAUGGACGAAAGUCUGAACCAGCCAUGCCGCGUGAAGGAUGACGGCCCUCUGGGUUGUAAACUUCUUUUAUAGGGGACGAAAAAAGGGUAUUCUUACUCACUUGACGGUACCCUAGGAAUAAGCACCGGCUAACUCCGUG